GGAAAUUGUUGACUGUGGCUGCGUAAAUGGAACUGUACAUGGGUCCGUAGACCAGAGGAACGAUAGCCUCGCACACACCAAACAGCGAAUUGACUUUGCCUGUGGAGGAGAACAACAAGUCGUCGACAUCAAACUCACGAGACGAGGGAGUCUGAUUUGCCUCAAUUGCCGUGCACGUGCCGUUCGAUUAAGGUAGAUACACCUGACACUUACCCAACUCGUCGGGUGGAACGAGCUUCGAGGUUAUCGAGCGCAUCACGAUGAACGACGUCCCGUUUAUUAUCUCCACCAGUGGCGCUGCAUGAAAACACACAUACAUCCAAUUCGGUUUAAUCUGUUCAAACUAGUUCUCGACGUCGUUGUUCACUGCCAACAUUGAUCGAGUUUGUUUUCAACGGUCCAAGCGAAAUAUCGCAAGCGAUUCCAAAUUCAAAUAGAUACGUCGUG